rnacentral:tRNA from 1 species
GGUCCCAUAGCUCAAAUGGAUAGAGCAGCGGUUUCCUAAACCGUAGAUCCCAGUUCGAUUCUGGGUGGGGCCA